UUAAAUUAAAUUUAAUUUAAAAAAUAGUUUGAACAUGCCAGAUUUUAAAGUGAGAGCAGCACAUCAUGUGACCUGCCAUACAUUAAUCUUACAGUGUUGUUCUUGGAAACUUAAAGUGACACCUUUUCACCUUUAAGCUAGAAGAAGAAGGAUCUGAAGCCAGCUCUCAUGUAAAAUGCAUCAGCUCUCAGCAUCAACCUGCAGUCUGAAGGCCUCCAAGCAGUCGAGGCAAGAUGAUGAUGAAUGAAGUCCUGGCAGCUUCCUGUGUCCCAGGCCUUGUAGAAAUAAAUGAGACAGACGUGCUUCAAAGUUCUAAUGUGCAUCACAUCGGAUCUUGUUUAAGGAAGCGUUAAAAGGAACCCACCGUUACCUAUUGAGAAGGCUCUGUGCUCUCAGACAUUGUUUCUGAUUGAAUCCAGAGGUUGCAAGCAUGCCUCCCUGUAUUACCUGUUGGAGCAGGUUUAAUUUUAUAAAUUUUAAACACAAACUCUAUGAGUUUCUAGUUCAUAAUUGUUCUUUUUGGGGAUCCACUCAGAUGAACAGUAUUGCAUCUGUAAGAGAUACCCGCUUCCACAGGACCAGAUUUGAUUGCAAUAUCAGUGGCAACAGACUCCAUCUGUAGCAUCAUCCAGUACCAGUGAUGGGAAGGACAGAUGGCAAGGAAACCCUUCGGGGGGGAGAGAAAAAGUCAUAUUGUGUUGGACCUACAGAUUACUAGAACCAUAGCUUUAGUAAACCAAGGCUUUUUUUCUUGAACACAAUCUGUAUAGACUGUGUAGUUCUUGAUUGGUGGCUUUAAUCCAUUGUCAUUAGGUAUCUCCUUGAACAUUCUCAAACACUGAAAAUCUUAAGCUCUCAUUAAAAAAAAAAAGUAAAUGCAGCUUUCAGAAAAUCCAGGAUUCAGUACAGUCUUCCGAGUGUUUGACUUCAGCCUCCCUGUCCUGUAGUUACCAACAGCAGGUACCCGGGUGGUAGACAAGAAGCCUUGCAGGAUAGAUAAGGAAAUGAGGAUGAACAAACGUAUCACAUGGUAUCAUAAACAUACUUUAUAAGUACAUUUCUUAUUAGCUUCUUAUUCGGGCAGAGAUUAUAAAAGUUUGCUGCAAGUAUCCAGACCAGGAUUUGUGUUUUGGAAGUUAUCAGUGUUCACAAUACCUGCAGGGAAGAAAAAAAUAUAAAAACUCAAAUAUGAAUACUGUUUACACCCAAAAGAACAUUUUUAUCAUUCUUUUCUUUGUUUUUGGCUCUGUCAAAAAUUAAAGUGCUUGGAAUGCUGUAGUCUGUGGUCUCUUGAAAUUUAAUCAAUGAGAACCUAGCAUUUUCACAGUAUGCUGUCACUUUGGACAUUCAUAAUAAAAAUUGAAACUAA